GGCGGGGGGCCGGCGGCGGCUACUGCGCAAGCGCGCUGCUCGCGGGCCCUGCCCCUCCCCGCCCAGCGGCUCUGCGCACGCGGCGUUCAGCCCCCGGGGAGAGGGGUGGGGUCUGCGUGCUUCCUUGUCGCAGGUUCGAGUCCCGCCUCGGGCGCCGUCGGCCCAGCACUGCUGUACAUUCCCGAAGGACCAGUCACUGCAGAGAGGUUGUUUAUUUUUAAAAGGGAGCAAUGUCCUAACUUUAAAUUGCCAGUUGGUCUACAACAGAGAUCCAGUCUAAAGAAUUAACACCCUAUCCUGGAACAAGGCCUGAGUCCUGCUUACCUCUUGGAACUGAAGAGAUAACUGGAGGCUGUAGAGAGCGUUUUCAAUGAGUCAGUUUGAAAGUUACUCUGAGGAUCUGAGGUCGCACAAGUGCUUUAGAAAACACAACCAAAGACUCGAAUAUACCCACUAGCUUCAGGCACUGGGUUGAAGUGAAAUAAUGCUUCCAGACUAAGUCCUGGCCUUCAGGCAGUGAUUCCAAGCACCUGACCCAAGUCCUGUGGGUCUCCACAUAGUAAGUGAAGACAGAAAGUUCAGAAGCCAUGUCAGCGUGCCUGAGGCAAUACCUCUCUUUCUGUGCAUAACGAACCUAUGGGAUGAUGAAGCCUGUGGGCUGACGAAGAAGUUCUUGGGCUAGCCAAUGGGAAGUGGUGGAUGAAGAUGUGUCUGAGACCAGGUGCCUGACUUGGGACUGCCUAGGGGAUCUCCCUUACAGAUCAAGAAUACUGAGCUCUAGGAAGGUAAGUAAUGAUGGGUGGACUCUUAAAUGGAAAAAUACAAGCAGUCACUGAGUGAGAACGAGAUUCCUGCCUUCUGGAGAUGUGGAAAAGAGAAGUUUGGGUCUUCAAGAUCUUAGGAGUGUGCUGCAGGCGCUGAGUUAUGAUACAAAAGGCUACCACCAUCUUCUCUACCUGUGUUCUGCAAUGAACCCCCAUGUAAGACUCACUUGGAUAUACUAAAAUAAACUACUUUUUCCCCCAGGGAGUUUUGCAGGAAGCCCAAAAGCUUCACAGCAAUUUUGAGGCAGAAUUUAGGGACUCAGCGUGUUUCUUCUUUUUCAGACUUCAGGUAAGUUUGUAUUCCAAAGUGAUGACAACAGUUCACACACACACACACAUAUAAAUGUAUACAUUUAGUUCCUCUGGGAGCUGUUUGGCAAUAGACUAAGUGCUGAGAAUCACUAUUUGAGAAUGAGUUCCCCCAAGCUAGCUGCU